rnacentral:lncRNA from 1 species
GUCUAUUUUUAUUGAUAUGGAAACACAGUCUAGAUAUCUUGCUAAGUGAAAACAGCAGGUUACAAAAUGGAGCACCAAUUACCUUCACAUGUGAUGGGAUUCACUUACCCGGGGAAGAGUGGAGAGCGGAGGAAUCUACCCUGGUGCUCCAGUAACAAACCCUAGCAGGGACAGCGGAAGCUGAACCUCCACUGCGAGUAGAUCUCACUAGCAUCAGCUGCUCCCAGCAUAAAAACAGCACAAUUUUCUUCCCAAGGCAUCUCUCUGAUCAUUAGUGAUAGCUCCACGGGACUGAGUGUACAUGAUUCUAACCAGUAAAGGAGAACUUGGGAAGUGUUGCUGUCUGAUACCAUCAACUGCAGAGGAAGAAGUUCUGCUUUGGGAAUGUUAGAAACCUCUCCUGUUAACAGGGUGGCUUCCACACGUAUCUGCAGCUAGAGUAUUUGGAGCGAGCUAAUGCUUUGGCCCGACAGAAAGAGGUUUCCUCCGUGCUGCCUGCUGGGCUGCGGAGGCUGUCAUAUGGGGGUCCCGUGCUGCGCAUUCUCUCUAUGCCUGACGACACCUUAAUCAUGAUCAGAGAAGAUGGAGCUAUUUAUUUCUGGUCCCUGCAGCUGAAGUUGAAAAGAAGAAAGCGGGUCUUUGUAUGUGAUUUUCAUUUGAUAAGGAUGCUGAGUGCUACAGUUUGAUUUUAUUUGCUAUUUUAAACUGCUUCUUAAGUGGUGUGAUUACAUAAAUUGUGUCCUUGAAUAUAAUAUAUUCAUGCUGGAUUUUGCUAGUCUGUAGAAUGCAAAUAAUAUAUGAUCUCUCUAUGUAGUGCAAGAUAAAGCUUCAUUUUGCUUCUAAAAUCAGAUGGAAUGAUGAAUUACAUGUGAUUCCAUCAUGUGAUUUAUUGUAUGUCUUAAUGAAUGACAAAUAGAAAAGAAUCUUCCCUUCCUCCCCCCAUUAACGGUUAUAUCAGUUUAGGUAGCUAUGUUAGGGCUUCUCUUCAGAGAACUUACUGAAUGACAGAAUCAAAAAUUCAAAAGACAAAAAGCACAGGGGACAUAUGCUUAGGAAUGACAAUGCCUGACCCAUUCCAGGAUAUGUUCUAUUUUUAAAGCCAUUCUUUUAUUAUCUUAACAAAUAUUUGAGCCUCUGUCAUAGACCAGGCAGUGUGCUGGCUGCUGGGAAUACAGAAACCCAGUCUCUGCCCUCAGGAAAUGUAUAAUCUAUCCCAGAUAUUAUAGCUGCCCCAAAGCCCUUGGGAUACAGAAUAUGCCCUCGCUAGAGAGAGAGAGAAUAAAGUUGACUCUCCAAAUCUAUGAAACAAUUUUUUUCCACUUGAAGGAGAAAAUAAAGAAAAUUAUAUUCUGUUAAACAGGCAUCCUACAGGCAAGAAUGGCUUGAGACAACUGAAAAUGUCUGAUCAUUAAAAAGGCAUAUGCUCGUUCAUUUCCACCCUUCAACCCUUUAGGACAAGGCCAGCAGCCAGAACCCCAGGUGGAUGACAGACGUCAUCAGCAUGCUAUACUGCAAUAAACUGAUCACUGGGACCAGAUGAGUGACGCUGCUCUUCAACCCAGAAAUGAACAAUUGGCCAAGAGUGGUGGCUCACGCCUGUAAUCCCAGCACUUUGGGAAGCCGAGGUAGGCAAAUCGUUUGAGCUCAGGAGUUUGAGACCAGCCUGGGCAACAUAGUGAAACCCCGUACCUACCAAAAAUACAAAAAAAUUACGCAACGUGGUGGUGCACACCUGUGGUCCCAGCUACCUGGAGGUUGGGGGCUGAGGCAGGAGAAUUGCUUGAACCCAGGAGGCAGAGGUUGCAGUGAGGCGAGACUGCGCCACUGCACUCCAGCCUGGGCGACACAGUGAGACUCCUCAAAUAAAAAGUAAAAUAAAGAGAAGUGAACAAUCACUGUGUUAUGGAAUCCAUUUUCAUGUAUGAAUUCACAUAAACAGAUACAUGUUUGUGGUAUGAAGAUAAAGUUAGGAGACCCUUUUCAGAAAACACUAAAACUCAUGUGUCAGUCGAAGCUACCAUGCCAGGUUAUCACUUUGGCCUAGUGCAGUGAUGUUGCCAUUGCCCCCAACACAGACCGAGGUUUUCUUUUGGGGAAUACUUCUGGGGCCAAGGUAUGGGCCAGAUUAGAAAAACAUUAGCCUUGGUACUUUUUAAUACACCUUAUUUUACAUUCAACAUAGUUUUCCUGUUUUAUUAGCCACAAAAUUUUGUCUGUAGUGCUCUGAACUGAUCCAAAAC